rnacentral:rRNA from 1 species
AGAGUUUGAUCAUGGCUCAGGACGAACGCUGGCGGCGCGCUUAACACAUGCAAGUCGAGCGAGAACCAGGGCUUCGGCCCUGGGGAAAGCGGCGAACGGGUGAGUAACACGUGAGUAAUCCACCCUCGGUACCGGGAUAGCCCGGGGAAACCCGGAUUAAUACCGGAUGGCCCGACAGCCUCUCGAGGCGGUCGGAAAAGGUAGCUUCGGCCUCCGACCGAGGACGAGCUCGCGGCGGAUUAGCUUGUUGGCGGGGUAACGGCCCACCAAGGCGACGAUCCGUAGCUGGUCUGAGAGGACGAUCAGCCACACUGGGACUGAGACACGGCCCAGACUCCUACGGGAGGCAGCAGUGGGGAAUCUUGCGCAAUGGGCGAAAGCCUGACGCAGCGACGCCGCGUGCGGGAAGAAGGCCUUCGGGUUGUAAACCGCUUUCAGGAGGGACGAAGCCACUCGGGUUAAUAGCCCAGAGGGUGACGGUACCUCCAGAAGAAGCCCCGGCUAACUACGUGCCAGCAGCCGCGGUA